GACGAACGCUGGCGGCGUGCUUAACACAUGCAAGUCGAACGAAGAGCGAUGGAAGCUUGCUUCUAUCAAUCUUAGUGGCGAACGGGUGAGUAACGCGUAAUCAACCUGCCCUUCAGAGGGGGACAACAGUUGGAAACGACUGCUAAUACCGCAUACGAUCUAAUCUCGGCAUCGAGGAUAGAUGAAAGGUGGCCUCUAUAUGUAAGCUAUCACUGAAGGAGGGGAUUGCGUCUGAUUAGCUAGUUGGAGGGGUAACGGCCCACCAAGGCGAUGAUCAGUAGCCGGUCUGAGAGGAUGAACGGCCACAUUGGGACUGAGACACGGCCCAGACUCCUACGGGAGGCAGCAGUGGGGAAUCUUCCGCAAUGGACGAAAGUCUGACGGAGCAACGCCGCGUGAGUGAUGACGGCCUUCGGGUUGUAAAGCUCUGUUAAUCGGGACGAAAGGCCUUCUUGCGAAUAGUGAGAAGGAUUGACGGUACCGGAAUAGAGAGCCACGGCUAACUACGUGCCAGCAGCCGCGGUAAUACGUAGGUGGCAAGCGUUGUCCGGAAUUAUUGGGCGUAAAGCGCGCGCAGGCGG
rnacentral:rRNA from 1 species